rnacentral:rRNA from 1 species
AAACCGUUCAGGGGUAAACCUGAGAAACCCAAAAGAUCGAACGAAGAGAUUCAUCGUCAACGGUCUUGGCCAUUGCGACGUGUGUGAUGUGCGCGGUUUCGGCCGUAGCGCACGCCAUUCGCAAUGUACGUUGGGACCGUCGGCGUGCACUUCUCUUCUAGUAGAACGUCGCGACCCACUGAGUGUCGGUCAACGGCCCGUCAGGGAGCCUAUUGCUUCGUUUCACGACGUUAGCUUUAGACCUGUUGCGGUUGCCCGAUCGGCUGCUCGGUGGUAAUGACUCAUGUAUGAUGGUAUGGGGCCGCAGUAAUUGCGUUCAGGCACUUUGGCAGGCCGAUCAUUGUUCUCGCAACGCGGACCUAGCGCCGCGUGCGGGCUUGAUUUGCCGUUGGUUAAAGUUGUCCUCGGACUGGCUCGUACAUAUUCUUCGGGAUAUACUGGUCGGCGACGCUACUGCUUUGGGUACUUUCAGGA